rnacentral:rRNA from 1 species
UACGUAGGGAGCAAGCGUUGUUCGGAUUUACUGGGCGUAAAGGGCGCGUAGGCGGCAAUUCAAGUCAUCUGUGAAAUCUCCGGGCUUAACUCGGAAAGGUCAACUGAUACUGUGCGACUAGAGUGCGGAAGGGGCAACUGGAAUUCUCGGUGUAGCGGUGAAAUGCGUAGAUAUCGAGAGGAACACCUGCGGCGAAGGCGGGUUGCUGGGCCGACACUGACGCUGAUGCGCGAAAGCCAGGGGAGCGAAACGGG